rnacentral:rRNA from 1 species
UACAGAGGGUGCAAGCGUUGUUCGGAAUUAUUGGGCGUAAAGGGCGCGUAGGCGGUGCGGUAAGUCUGUAGUGAAAUCUCUGGGCUCAACUCAGAGUCUGCUAUAGAAACUGCCGUGCUUGAGUGUGGGAGAGGUGAGUGGAAUUCCCGGUGUAGCGGUGAAAUGCGUAGAGAUCCGGAAGAACACCGGUGGCGAAGGCGGUUAGCUGGGCAGUUGCUGACACUAAGGCGCGACAGCGUGGGGAGCAAACAGG